CUGCAAAGAUAAUUACAUCGGCUGGUUUCCGCCCGGGUGCCUUGGGCGGGAACGAGAAAAUAGGGUACUGGCGUCCGGUUUAGCGUGCGACUGCGCGACUCCGGAAGCGAGAUCAAAACAGAUCGCUAAACAUGUAGAACUGCGCGACGAAGGCUUGCGGACGGGGGUUCAAAUCCCCCCAGCUCCACCA
rnacentral:tmRNA from 1 species